CAAUUAGUGUGCUGCUGUAUAUGUGCGCGAACUGCAGUAAACAGUAUUUUCUUUACCUCAUUCUGCUCAUAUGAAAUUUUUUUCAAAUCAUAUACUUAAUUAAUUCUCAAGGAUAAUAUAAAAUAUUUGUAUUUAUCUUGACAAUAUACCAUUUCAAAGUUUUUUGAAAAGGUGCUUGGGCUAAUUCAAAUCCAGCCAAUCAGCGUCAAGGUAGUGUACUGUUGCACUCUCGUGUCAGCUCUUUUCUCUGUUUAUUUACUAACUUAUAACCUCAUCUUGACAUAGGAAACAAACUUCGAAUAGAAGUUUCAUCUUGCAACUUAAUAUUUAAGUAGAGCAAGAGGACACAAUAUUCAACAGUGAUAUUGUGUCCUGUUGCUCCACUGUAAUAUUAUUUCACUGUUGAAUAUUGUGUCCUCUUGCUCUACUUAAAUAUUAUUUCACUGUUGAAUAUCGUGCCGUCCUCUUGCUCCACUUAUAAUAAAUAUUAUUUCAUUGUUGAAUAUUGUGUCCUCUUGCUCCACUUUUUUAUUUCACUGUUGAAUAUUGUGUCCUAUUGCUCUAUUUAAAUAUUAUUUUACUGUUGAACAUCGUAUUCUCUUGCUCCACUUUUUUAUUUCACUGUUGAAUAUUGUGUCCUUUUGCUCCGUUAGGCCCCCGACAACUUCAGUUUCACAUUUGAAUUUUUUUACUAAUUCUGUUAUGUUAUCAUAAUUUUGAGUGCCAAUUAAACUCCCUUUGAAACUGUAAAAUUUAAUGUCGCUCCGAUGCGAAUACGGUAUCGUUGUGUCCUCUUGCUAUACUUAAAUAUUAUUUCACUGUUGAAUAUUGUGUCCUCUUGCUCCACUUAAAUAUUAUUUCACUGUUGAAUAUCGUGCCGUCCUCUUGCCCCACUUAUAAUAAAUAUUAUUUCAUUGUUGAAUAUUGUGUCCUCUUGCUCCACUUUUUUAUUUCACUGUUGAAUAUUGUGUCCUCGUGCUCUACUUGAAUAUUAUUUCACUGUUGGAUAUCUGGAAUAUUAUUUCACUGUUGGAUAUCGUAUUCUCUUGCUCCACUUAAAUAUUAUUUCAUUGUUGAAUAUUGUGUCCUCUUGCUCCGUUAGGCCCCCGACAACUUCAGUUUCACAUGCAUUUGAAUUUUUUUACUAAUUCUGUUAUGUUAUGUUAUCAUAAUUUUGAGUGCCAAUUAAACUCCCUUUGAAACUGUAAAAUUUGAUGUCGCUCCGAUGCGAAUACGGUAUCGUGUAAACAUCCGCCCCGCGACCACCUAAACAUCCGCCCUUGUAAGUUAUUGAAGCUUAUUUUACUGCAUGCACUUGAGUUAUCCGAACAAAUCUGACCACUAUUUAUUAAUAUAUAAGUUCCUUACAGUCGAACUUUGACAGUUUUAAGUAUAAUUUACCUAAACCUAUCAUGCCUAAAGGCGG
rnacentral:lncRNA from 1 species